GCAUGGGUUGGAUUUAUGGCAGGCCCGUCCCCCUGGGCCUUUCAUAGUGUCCCAUGCCAGAGCAAACUGUGGUCCCGAACCAUUGCCUGGCCUCGAUCUGUGGGCUACUGGCACUGAAGGGGGUUGCACAGAA